GUCGAGCGGGGGAUAUUGCUUCGGUAAUUGACCUAGCGGCGGACGGGUGAGUAAUACUUAGGAAUCUGCCUAUUAAUGGGGGACAACAUCUCGAAAGGGAUGCUAAUACCGCAUACGCCCUACGGGGGAAAGCAGGGGAUCACUUGUGACCUUGCGUUAAUAGAUGAGCCUAAGUCGGAUUAGCUAGUUGGUGGGGUAAAGGCCUACCAAGGCGACGAUCUGUAGCGGGUCUGAGAGGAUGAUCCGCCACACUGGGACUGAGACACGGCCCAGACUCCUACGGGAGGCAGCAGUGGGGAAUAUUGGACAAUGGGGGGAACCCUGAUCCAGCCAUGCCGCGUGUGUGAAGAAGGCCUUAUGGUUGUAAAGCACUUUAAGCGAGGAGGAGGCUCCUGUAGUUAAUACCUACAGUGAGUGGACGUUACUCGCAGAAUAAGCACCGGCUAACUCUGUGCCAGCAGCCGCGGUAAUACAGAGGGUGCGAGCGUUAAUCGGAUUUACUGGGCGUAAAGCGUGCGUAGGCGGCUUUUUAAGUCGGAUGUGAAAUCCCCGAGCUUAACUUGGGAAUUGCAUUCGAUACUGGGAAGCUAGAGUAUGGGAGAGGAUGGUAGA
rnacentral:rRNA from 1 species